GAUGAACGCUGGCGGCGUGCCUAAUACAUGCAAGUCGAGCGAACAGACGAGGAGCUUGCUCCUCUGACGUUAGCGGCGGACGGGUGAGUAACACGUGGAUAACCUACCUAUAAGACUGGGAUAACUUCGGGAAACCGGAGCUAAUACCGGAUAAUAUAUUGAACCGCAUGGUUCAGUAGUGAAAGACGGUUUUGCUGUCACUUAUAGAUGGAUCCGCGCCGCAUUAGCUAGUUGGUAAGGUAACGGCUUACCAAGGCAACGAUGCGUAGCCGACCUGAGAGGGUGAUCGGCCACACUGGAACUGAGACACGGUCCAGACUCCUACGGGAGGCAGCAGUAGGGAAUCUUCCGCAAUGGGCGAAAGCCUGACGGAGCAACGCCGCGUGAGUGAUGAAGGUCUUCGGAUCGUAAAACUCUGUUAUUAGGGAAGAACAAAUGUGUAAGUAACUAUGCACGUCUUGACGGUACCUAAUCAGAAAGCCACGGCUAACUACGUG
rnacentral:rRNA from 1 species